GACGGGGGGUCCUAGCGUUGUUCGGAAUCAUUGGGCGUAAAGCGUGUGCAGGUGGUUCUGUAAGUUAGAUGUGAAAGCCUUGGGCUUAACCCAAGAAGUGCAUUUAAAACUACAGAACUUGAGUAUGGAAGAGGGUCGUGGAAUUCCAGGGUGUAGUGGUGAAAUACGUAGAUAAUCUGGAGGAACACCGGUGGCGAAGGCGGCGACCUGGUCCUAUACUGACACUCAUACCACGAAAGCGUGGGGAAUCAAACAGGG
rnacentral:rRNA from 1 species